GGUGUCGAUGGCGAUGAGGUCACACCUGUUUCCAUUCCGAACACAGAAGUUAAGCUCAUUUGCGCCGAAAAUACUUAGCUGGAGACGGCUGGGGAAGAUAGGUUGAUGCC
rnacentral:rRNA from 1 species